GAUCCUGGCUCAGUAUGAACGCUAGCUACAGGCUUAACGCAUGCAAGUCGAGGGGCAGCAUGAACUUAGCUUGCUAAGUUUGAUGGCGACCGGCGCACGGGUGAGUAACACGUAUCCAACCUUCCGUUUACUCAGGGAUAGCCUUUCGAAAGAAAGAUUAAUACCUGAUAGUAUGGUGAGAUUGCAUGGUAACACCAUUAAAGAUUUAUUGGUAAACGAUGGGGAUGCGUUCCAUUAGGUAG
rnacentral:rRNA from 1 species